ACUCAGGUCCCCUUCCACACUAUGGAAGAUUUGUUCUUUUGCUCUUUGCAAUAAAUCUUGCUGCUGCUCACUCUUUGGGUCUGCACUGCCUUUAUGAGCUGUUAACACUCACUGCGAAGGUCUGCAGCUUCAAUUCUGAGGCCAGCAAGACAACAAACCCACCAGAAGGAAUGAACAACUCUGGAUGGGAGGAACGAACAACUCCAGAUGCACUGCCUUAAGAGCUGUAAUGCUCACCGUGAAGGUCUGCAGCUUCACCCCUGAAGCCAGCAAGACCACGAACCCACCAGAAGGAAGAAACUCUGAACACAUCCGAACAUCAGAAGGAACAAACUCUGGACACACCAGCUUUAAGAACUGUAACACUCACUGUGAGGGUCUGCGGCUUCUUUCUUGAAGUCAGUAAGACUAAGAAUCCACCAAUUCUGGACACAUUUUGGAGACCAUGAAGGGGCUAUCACCUAUCACCAAGCAGUGAGACUAUCGCCAAGUGGUGAGACAAUCGCCUUUCGCCAAGUGGUGAGACUGGUGCCCAUCGGCAAGCAAAUCGAGGCCAUCAAGCUACAGAUGGCCUUACCAAUGAAACCCCAAAUGAGCUCAACUAACAACUUCUACCAAGGAUCCCUGGACUGACCCACUGGCCCUUCCACUGGCCUAAAGAAUUCCCCUCUGGAAGACACUACAACUGCAGGGCCCCUUCUUCACCCUUAUCUAGCAGGAAGUAGCUAGAGCAGUCAUCGGCCACAUUCCCAAAAUCAGGUGGGGUGUCCUGUUUAGAGUGAGGAUUGAGAGGUGACAACGUGCUAGUGGCCCUCGCUCACUCUCAGUGCCUCCUUGGCCUCAGCGUCCACUCUGGCCACGUUUGAGAGCCCUUUAGCCUGCCACUGCACUGUGAGAGUCCCUCUCUGGGCUGGCUGAGGCUGGAGCCAGCUCCCUCUGCUUGCGGGGAGGUGUGGAGGGAGAAGCACAGGUGGGAACCAGGGCUGCAUGCGGUGCUCAUGGGCUAGCACGAGUUCCAGGUGGGUACAGGCUUGGUGGGCCCUGCACUUGGAGCGGCUGGCCAACACUGCCAGCCCCAGGCAGUGAGGGGCUUAGCAACCGGGCCAGCACCUGCGGUGGGGGCGCUGGGUACUCCAGCACUGCCGGCCUGCCCGCACCAUGCUCGAAUUCUCACCAGGCCUCAGCUGCCUAGCCACAGGGCAUGGCUUGGGACCUGCAGCCCACUAUGCCCAAGACCCUUGUGGUGGGCUCCCACGUGGCCCCAGCCUCCCCAUUGGGUGCCGCCCCCUGCUCCCCGGCACCCAGUCCCAUCAACUGCCCAAGGGCUGAGGAGUGCAGGUGUGUGGCGUGGGACUGGCAGGCAGCUUGCCUGCGGCCCCAGCACAGGAUCCACUAGGUGAAGCCAGCUGGGCUAUUGAGUUGGGUGGGGACUUGGAGAACUUUUGUGUCUAGCUGGAAGAUUGUAUAUGCACAAAUCAGCACUCUGUGUCUAGCUCAGGGUUUGUAAAUGCACCAAUCAGCACUCUUUGUCUAGCUCAAGGUUUGUAAAUGCACCAAUCAGUGCUCUGUAGCUAGCUAAUCUAAUGGGGACUUGGAGAACUUUUACAUCUAGCUAGAGGAUUGUAAAUACACCAAUCAGCACUCUGUGUCUAGCUCACAGAUUGUAAAUGCACCAAUCAGCACCCCAUCAAAACAGACCAAGCAGCUCUCUGUAAAAUGGGCCAAUCAACAGGAUGUGGGUGGGGUGAGAUAAGGGAAUAAAAACAGGCUACCUGAGCCAGCAGCGGCAACACGCUCGGGCCCCCUUCCACACUGUGGAAGAUUUGUUCUUUUGCUCUUUGCAAUAAAUCUUGCUGCUGCUCACUCUUUGGGUCUGCACUGCCUUUAUGAGCUGUAACACCAGAAGGUCUGCAGCUUCACUCCUGAGGCCAGCAAGACCAUGAACCCACUGGGAGGAAUGAACAACUCCUGACAGGAAGAAUGAACAACUCCAGAUGCGCCGCCUUAAGAGCUGUAACACUCACCGCAAAGGUCUGCAGCUUCACUCCUGAAGCCAGCGAGACCACAAACCCACCAGAAGGAAGAAACUCUGGACACAUCCGAACAUCAGAAGGAACAAACUCUGGACACACAAUCUUUAGGAACUGUAACACUCACCGCGAGGGUCCGCGGCUUCAUUCUUGAAGUCAGUGAGACCAAGAACCCACCAAUUCUGCAUACAGUGGGACCAGUUGCACCUGUUUCCCUACAGCCAUCUGAGCUACUGUGUUUGACAACAGCUGCACCAUGGCAGGAAGGGAGAAAAAUUCAUCUGCCAGUCUCCACCUCCCACAGAUACUAGAUCAAUAAACAUCUCCUAAGAAAGAGAUCCCAGGCAGUAGGUGAGAGAUGUGCAGCAUGGGCAUGUGUCUGGGGCGCUACAUGUGGCCAAGAUCUCUUUUCAUCUAUCUUAAGUUCUUAGGCCAGUUGCUGAGCAGAGGAGGCAUGCAAAUGUAGACAAAACAGAGAAAAACAAUUUUACAUGACAAAUAACACUCUAGAGACCACUGCACUUCAAUAUGAGCAGCAAAGCAAGAAGACAACUCUAAAAGGAGAGUAAAAAAAUGUUUCUCUGUAGUUUCAAGAGCAGGCUGAGGGAGAAAUAACAUCUGUCUCUGCCCUCACUUGGAGCCCACUUUCUCUGUUCAGCUCUGCCAUUUUCUGCAUUUUAAAAUUUCUCUAGUCCUCGUGUUCCCAUGAGAUUAGGAUUUUCCAGAAGGAAACUUCUUAAAAUGUAAGCAAAAAAAAAAAAAAAAAAGAAUAAAAUUCCACAAAUGGAAAGAUGUGGAAAUGUUUGCAAAGCACAGGCUGGAGCCCAGCCAAUUUGGAGAGGAACACAGCCCCUAGUUUCUUUUCUGUUCUGGAUUUUUUAGUGUAAGUUUCACAGCCUCAUGUAUUUCAGGUAUGAAGCACAUCCCAGCCUUUAUAGAAAAAUAAACCAAAACAAAAAUGAUUUUUUAUUUUGUUAGUGUUAGUUCACUGUGUGAUUAGAAGAUACUACAGCCAUUUUUCUAAUGAUAAGACACAACUGUCUCUCUAGUCAUGAAGGCUUAAGCACACAAUUGCGGCUGUAUCUGAUGAUUUUAUUAGCCUCAGAUUACAAAGAAAAUAUUGCCUCUAUGAAUCUCUGGCCUCUUGAUUACCUGCCAACCAUUCUAAUGUAGACUGAAGUCAGGCUGAGUUUAAAUAACUGCAAUCAGAACAUCUAAUCGGUGAACAGCCUUUGGAAGAGGGUUACACAGACUAAGGUUUGGAAGUGACAGGAGCAGUCAAUUUGGGAAUAAGUUGCUGGAUAUAAAAUUCAUUCUUUCUAGUUGUACCACAAUAGAUUGGAGGUACAGCUCCCCAGAGGAGAGACCUAACUCCAACUCUAACUAAUGGUCCUUUUUUUUUUUGGCAGUUACCUAUCUAUUAUAUAAUUUAAGUCUCAACACGGUUCUCUGUGGUUGGGAAGUUAUCUCAAUUCCUAUGAUGCAGAAAAGGAAAUAGGCAGAGAAAAUAGCCAGUUUUCACAUUGUUCUAGUGACUACGUCAGGACGAGAUUCUGGGUCUCUUCAAUGUUAGGUUAGGGCUGUCCUACAUAUAUGAACAUUCAGUACCCAAUUAAAGAUACAGGUUACAGUAACCAAAACAGCAUAGUACUAGUACAAGAACAGACACAUAGACCAAUGGAACAGACUAGAGAACUCAGAAAUAAGACCAUCCAUCUACAACCAUCUGAUCUUUGACAA
rnacentral:lncRNA from 1 species